CCAUUAAAAUACCACAGACGAAAAUCUCGAAGGAACCCGCGGCGAAUUACUCUUCCAGGUUCUGAAGUCAUAGUUCCCCCACUCUAUUAC